UCCAGGCCCCGCUCGCAGGAGGAGAGGUUGCGUAUUCAGGUGCUGCCCCGGAGCACGCGCGAGGGCCGGGCCGAUGCCGGCGGCGGUGGGUGCUGGGGCGCCCGCCCUGGGUCCCCGCGCGGCUCCAGGCUGGCCAGGGCGAGCGCACGGCCACUGCCUCCUCGGGGCGCACGGGCCCGCGGCUCCGACAAACUCCGGUCGCCGGGCAGGACCCAGGGGAAAACCCUGCAGUUUUCCUUAAUAGGCUCCCGAGGCCGAGGCCGUAACCCAGCGCCUGCCUCGCGGCGGGGCUACUGUCUGGGCGACCGUGUCAUCCCGUGUCAUCCCUCAGUCCUCCCGCAUCGCCGCCGGGUGAAAGGGCAUUUAAGGUCUUUACCUCCCGAGGGGAAGCGGCUGAACCUCAGGCAGGCCAGGCUCCAGCCAAGGUCCAAGUCCAGAGCCCCGCCUUGGUGGCGCCCUGCGGCCCGCGGGCUCCGGACGCGCAGAAAGGGGGACCCCCCCGCCCCCGCCCCCGCCCCCCGCCGGGGCUUGCAGCGAGGGCCGCUGGGCCCGCGAGGUCCCAAUCCCGAGGAGCCAACGCGGCCGCGCCCCACUGGAAAUCCGCCUGCCCGGUCUCGGGGAUCCCCGGCGCCUCCACGCGGAGGAAGCCCUGAGCCCAAGUGCAGCCAGUCCGGCCUCCCAACGGCGACUGACGGGCCCAGACUCGCACCCCCUCCCCCAGGCCGAGCCCAGGGUCCUGCCCGCGGUGGCGGUGGCGGUAAGUCCUGUUGGACGGGGCGGCCCACUCGGUUCUGCCUUCGCACUCGGGGGCCAGCUUCCCCUCUCCAGGAGCGGCGGUGGGAAUUGAUGGCACCUCCUCCAUUCCACGGACCACCCCACUCCUCUCCUGCAGCCUGGAUGGGUUCCCCUUCUCCAUUCCUCCCUUAUAAUCCCUUCCCGCCCAGCUCCUCUCCUGGGCUGGGAUAUCCUACACAAACUCCAGGCCACCAUUUGUCUUUCUCCUUCACGUCCCCGUGCAAGGCUAUAAUUGGAGCCAACUGGGGUUGGUCUGCCUGGAGACAGACUUUAAGGAAUAUUCCCAAGCAGCUGCCAAAACUCCCUUUGUUUCGGGGGAAAUUCCCUGUCUUCUCAGGUCCAACGUGGGCUGCCUGUUCCCCCUUGUUGGUGGGAAAACAUGGGUCCGCUCCUCUGUGGGAGCCCUUUCCCUGCCUUCUGGCAGCACCUCCCUCUUCUGCCUCCCCCUCUCCCUCCCCCUCCUCCUGUUUCUGCAGCACCCCGGUAGGGCCUGCCUAG
rnacentral:lncRNA from 12 species